rnacentral:rRNA from 1 species
GGGUGAGUAACGCAUAUGCAACCUACCCUUUACUGGGGGAUAGCUCGGAGAAAUCCGGAUUAAUACCCCAUGUAUUUAUUAGAUGGCAUCAUUUAAUAAAUAAAGCUUUAGUGGUAGAGGAUGGGCAUGUGUGCCAUUAAUUAGUUGGUGGGGUAACGGCUCACCAAGACUGUGAUGGCUAGGGGGUCUGAGAGGAUGGUCCCCCACACUGGUACUGAGACACGGACCAGACUCCUACGGGAGGCAGCAGUGAGGAAUAUUGGUCAAUGGACGCAAGUCUGAACCAGCCAUGCCGCGUGCAGGAUGACAGUUCUAUGGAUUGUAAACUGCUUUUAUACGGGAAGAACACCCUGAACGUGUUCGGGAUUGACUGUACUGUAUGAAUAAGCAUCGGCUAACUCCGUGCCAGCAGCCGCGGUAAUACGGAGGAUGCAAGCGUUAUCCGGAUUUAUUGGGUUUAAAGGGUGCGUAGGCGGGAUAUUAAGUCAGUGGUGAAAGUUUGCAGCUUAACUGUAAAAUUGCCAUUGAUACUGGUAUUCUUGAAUACAAUUGAGGUAGGCGGAAUGUGUAAUGUANCGGUGAAAUGCUUAGAUAUUACACAGAACACCGAUUGCNAAGGCAGCUUGCUNAAAUUGUGAUUGACGCUGANGCACGAAANCGUGGGGAUCNAAACAGGGAUUANAUACCCUGGUANNCCACGCUGUAA